rnacentral:lncRNA from 1 species
AAUAGAUUUUUGAGAUAAUUUUAUUGCAUAUUUUGAUAUCAAAAUCAGUUAUCUAAACCUAGACAGUUUGUUUAAUACUCAAGUAGCAGCACACUCGAAUGAUUUGAACGGAAAUUGGGACGUCUAGAUUUAGCAUGAAACGCGCUUAUUUGUGUUCAGAAGCUAGGUAGUUAGGAUGGGUUGUAGUAAAACCUUAUAAUCAUUUUUUUUUUGUAGUGGAAUUAUUUGUCUUUCUUUCUGAAAUCAAAUGCAAGUUCGAAUUUUAUUUUUGAGGUGAGUCAGUAACAUUGGUCAAGAUUAUUUAGAAACCUGCUGUCUAUAAUGGACAUUAUAUUGGUGUGCUGUCAAUAAAUAACAUGCAUGAAGAGUUACACUAAUUUGUCCAGUAAUACAUAAUAGUUGUAGCAUGAACACGUGAUGAAUAAUGUGCGUAAAAUUGCCAAGCUAGAGCGUCUGGGCAUUAUCUGAUUUAAUGCGGAUACUUUUCACUGUCCGAAGGUUCAAAGGUCAUCUUUUGUACAACGGUAUUCAUAGUUUUGGAACAAAACAACGCUUUACAGAAAACAUUUGCAAGGAUAUUAGCAUCAAUUCUUAAAAGGACGUAUGCACCAUUUUUAAGAAAGGAAACGUAAAAUAUAUCAAGGUUACUGGUGGUGAAAAUGAGCUGAAAAGAAAGAAACAGACCAGUAGUAAUAAAGAAAUCACAGCUGAGGUUGCUGUGAUUGAAUGGACAAAGAAAAGGGUGUGUAUUUGAAUUCUUGCUGAUAAUGGUAAAUGGAAUUUUCAAAAAGGCCAGUUGGAUGCGGUUUCAAUAUAAAGUUUGCAUUGCGAAAGCUUAACAAGAAAGAUGAACUUGAAAUUGACUUAAGUUAUAUGAUACCUAAUUUUUGUGAGAAAAUCAACAGCGACACAAAUUUAUUGGCGGCGACGGAAAGGGACUGUACGAUCAAACGUGUAACAGCUUACUUUACUCUAAGUAAAACACUGUUUGUUUUAAUUUAUGGACCAUCAUGAACAUAUAUUAUGAUCCGUAAUUGUGGCAUGUAUGCAAUUUUGCGUUUUGUUCAUAUCUGAUUCAUUGGAUUGAUAUUAUUGUGUUGUUUUAGAUGCUGUAUUGUAAACUUCUAUAUAACAGAAACUGAAUACAAAAUCUCUUGCACCAUUUAUAUAGUAAUUUGCCUUAUUAAUUAUAAAUGUCUACAUUUGAAAGGAACGAAAGUAAAUCAUUCUGCAAAUGUUGUAGCUAUUUCUAAAACUAAAUGUAUUCAAAAUACCAUUUCCACGUAAUAUUUCUGUUUCAGAACUCAUUUAAAUAGAACAUUAGAAAUCUAAUCUCUGAUUUACCUUUAGAUUGUUCUAUUUGUAUUAAAACAUAUAACAGGAUAUUGAACAGCUAACGCGCGUAUUAGUAUCGUUAUGUAAUAUAGUUUAAAGCACGAACCGUUGUCUUACUAAUUAAAUUAACUAUUUUCUCGUGUAUAUAUUUUACUUGUUUUCCUAUUAUCAAAAUUGUUAACUGUAUGCAACAGGCCUUGCAAUUAGAUUGUUAAAUACUCUAGUGAUUGAACGGUACUUUUAUAUUGUUGAUUACAUGUAUAUUAUAAUUUCUGGAGGGACAUAUGUAUUUUAUAUCGAUGUGUAAUUUUUACAUUUUUGCAUGUUUUCUUACCAAAAAUGUUAUAUUCUUACUUAAUGAACAUAUGUCAAUGUAUUUCGUCCUUUUAGAUAUUUGAGAUUAUGUGUUUAGUAAUUUUACAUAUGUUGAAUUAGCAUGAAUGUUUUGGCGCGCUGCACCUAUUAGUUAAAGCUUUUUUAGUAUUCGUAGUACCCCAUAGUUUUUGUCUUACAUUAAAUCUCCGACAUUCCUACUGAAAAGAUCAAACCCAAUUACAUAAAUAUAUUAUAACACUAUUCCGUACGCGUAAAGCACUGUGUUUUUACACUUUUGACACGGACGCGCUAAAAUAGCAUAGUGAUCCUGCAUUAACCUACCAUAAAACAAUACUAUGUUGUCUGGCAGCUUAAACCAACUCACUUAAAACAAAUAUAUUUUUCGUAUGUCCAUCGAACUAUAAAAAAACGGUUGAAAUCAUAUUAUUAACGAAGGCCAAAUGUGUCAUAAUUUACUGAACUAGUGGUACAUGUAGACAGGUUAUUAUUAGAAAAUUAUCAGAAAUUAUUUAUAAUGCAUUCAUACUGAGAACACUGUUAUUGUAAAUAGUGUUAAACUUUUAGAUCUACGCAUCUAAAUAACAGUUCUGUGUGUCCCCCGUUAUAUGACUGAAAUACUGUUGAAAAGCGGCGUUUAAACCCAAACGAACAAACAAACUACCGUGUAUAGUUGUAAAAUGUACAAAACUCGUCUUGAUAACAAUUUAUGUUUCAUGAAAGAAUAAUAAUUGUAUUCAAACAUUGUCGUAUAAUGACUUUAAGAAUUCAUUUUACUUAUUAGAUAAGCAUUAUUCAUCUCGUUUUUCGGUCAAGUUAUAAGUCACACACAGAAGAAUUUCGGAAUGCUACUUAAAAUAAUUUCAGCACUUGGUCAUAUGAGAAAGUGACAGGUCAUGAUAUCUCGCCCAGGUUAACUACCCUCUGUCCACGUCAUGAUUGUUGUUUUUGUUCAGUUACUAAUUGUUUGACAAGCUGACUAAAUAGGAAUUAUGACAUGUUUAUUUUCUAAUGGUCAUUUACGUGUGUGCUCCGAGAAAAACAUUUUAGUCAUCCGAUAGACAGUUUUCCUUAAAUACAGCACACUUUGAGGCAGAGCUUUAGUAUCAUUCUGGUACUCAGUUAGAGUAAACCUUAGUAACUGUUACACCACAACAUGCUUAAUUUUUACGUUGUUUGUAUCAAAUCAAAUAACAACAU